rnacentral:hammerhead_ribozyme from 1 species
AUCCAGUUGACGAGUUUCAAAUAGGAUGAAACACGUGUCAAACUGGAU